UAGGGAAUAUUGGACAAUGGGGGCAACCCUGAUCCAGCCAUGCCGCGUGAGUGAGGAAGGCCCUCGGGUUGUAAAGCUCUUUUGUCCGGAAAGAAAAGCUUCGGGUUAAUACCCCGGGGUUCUGACGGUACCGGAAGAAUAAGCACCGGCUAACUUCGUGCCAGCAGCCGCGGUAAUACGAAGGGUGCAAGCGUUACUCGGAAUUACUGGGCGUAAAGCGUGCGUAUGUGGUUGUUUAAGUCUGAUGUGAAAGCCCUGGGCUCAACCUGGGAAGGGCAUUGGAAACUGGGCAGCUAGAGUGCGGUAGAGGGUAGUGGAAUUCCCGGUGUAGCAGUGAAAUGCGUAGAGAUCGGGAGGAACAUCUGUGGCGAAGGCGACUGCCUGGACCAGCACUGACACUGAGGCACGAAAGCGUGGGGAACAAACA
rnacentral:rRNA from 1 species